rnacentral:sRNA from 1 species
GCAGGUUCGAAUCCUGCACGACCCACCAAUUUCAGCAUUUAACUCAGAUGCUGAACGUGAAGGAUAACGUUGCGUCAGCAACGGCCCGAAGGGCGAGGCAAAGCCGAGUCAUCCUGC